CUCUCUCUCUUCUCUGCUGACGCCGCUUCACUGAAGCACUGUGGCUUCAUCUUCGGCUCGUCUGAUGUGGCACUGACACCAAAAUCAAUCAAUUCAAAGUCGCUGCACUCGAUUCCGACGAAUCCUUCGGUGUUCGAUAUCAGGUUUCGCACGCCGUAGUUCUUAAUUUGUCGCCGCCUAACUUCUUCAGCUCGACGGAGCCUUGUCGCAACCUCCUUGAUGUUCUAAUUGUGCCUCAUGAAGCUAUUUCGAGUUCCGAAUAAGAGCUUUGAACCGUUUCCUUCAAUCUAUGAAGAUGUGCAAGUCGAGACCUCCAAGCACUCUGUUGCGAUGUAGAGGCCACCGAGAUCACGAUCAAUUCGGAGCUGCCAGGAAUUGUCAAUGACAUGAUGGAGCUUGAAGAGAAUGAGAGUGUGAUUACUGGUGAACUCGAUUAUUACACUAAGUGUUGAGCUUAAUGGUGUAUGAUGGUUUGUUGGGAAAACUUUCAACCUUGAUCGCAUUGACCUCUAUCUUCAUGCCGACACCAUAUGGGUAGAUGUGGUCCACAUCCGGCAAGAACAACAACAUCGUCGAUGCUUGACGCGGCUGUGAUCUUCAUCAUCCGCUCUUUUCUAUUUUGUGGACGUCCGUUUCUAAACGGCUCCGUGUAUGUGUAUACAUAUAUAUAUAUAUAUAUAUAUUUAUUUAUUUUCUUUUUCA